UACGGGGGGGGCAAGCGUUGUUCGGAAUUACUGGGCGUAAAGGGCUCGUAGGCGGCCAACUAAGUCAUACGUGAAAUCCCUCGGCUUAACCGGGGAACUGCGUCUGAUACUGGAUGGCUUGAGUUCGGGAGAGGGAUGCGGAAUUCCAGGUGUAGCGGUGAAAUGCGUAGAUAUCUGGAGGAACACCGGUGGCGAAGGCGGCAUUCUGGACCAAUACUGACGCUGAGGAGCGAAAGCCAGGGGAGCAAACGGG
rnacentral:rRNA from 1 species